rnacentral:rRNA from 1 species
AGAUUGAACGCUGGCGGCAGGCCUAACACAUGCAAGUCGAGCGGCAGCACGGGUACUUGUACCUGGUGGCGAGCGGCGGACGGGUGAGUAAUGCCUAGGAAUCUGCCUGAUAGUGGGGGAUAACGUUCGGAAACGGACGCUAAUACCGCAUACGUCCUACGGGAGAAAGUGGGGGAUCUUCGGACCUCACGCUAUCAGAUGAGCCUAGGUCGGAUUAGCUAGUUGGUAGGGUAAAGGCCUACCAAGGCUACGAUCCGUAACUGGUCUGAGAGGAUGAUCAGUCACACUGGAACUGAGACACGGUCCAGACUCCUACGGGGAGCAGC